rnacentral:lncRNA from 1 species
CAAGAAUGUAACAAGAGAAAACUUUGCCACGUGACCUCCAAAAGCUUGCAGAACAUCAUUUUUGCUGACAUCGGAACAGUGAUGUUGCUUUCAUGCUGGUUGCUAUGCACUCACCAAAGGUCAGCUCUCGUGUGAUUUCUGUAAGUUGCAGUGUAAAGAAACAAGUGUGGAACUCCUGAGAGGAUGACAUUUCUUUACAGAAGAUUCCAACUUUCAUCAGCAAUAAAAACUGAGCUUACUACCAAAAGAUGACUAUCUUAAGUCUUGUCUAUGAGUAAGUAUUAGUUUUUUAGAAUGGAAACAAUAACAUG